rnacentral:rRNA from 1 species
UUGGUCAAUGGACGCAAGUCUGAACCAGCCAUGCCGCGUGAAGGAUGAAGGUCCUCUGGAUUGUAAACUUCUUUUAUCUGGGACGAAAACGGGAUUUUUAUCUCAAUUGACGGUACCAGAGGAAUAAGCACCGGCUAACUCCGUGCCAGCAGCCGCGGUAAUACGGAGGGUGCGAGCGUUAUCCGGAUUUACUGGGUUUAAAGGGUGCGUAGGUGGGCUUAUAAGUCAGUGGUGAAAUCUCCGAGCUUAACUUGGAAACUGCCGGUGAUACUAUAGGUCUUGAAUUAUCUGGAGGUCAGCGGAAUAUGUCAUGUAGCCGUGAAAUGCUUAGAUAUGACAUAGAACACCAAUUGCGAAGGCAGCUUACUACAUAUAAAUUGAC